rnacentral:lncRNA from 1 species
AUGGAGCACGCCAACCAGCUCUCGGUGGAGCUCUUUGGGCAGCUGAUUGGAGUGGCCUACCUUUUCGCCCAGACUGGCCAGGUCCUGGAGGACAUCCCAGAGGACACGGAGGGACCUCAGGACGAGCAGCAGGUGGAUGUGAUUGAGGAGGGGGAAGAGGAGGAAGGCCAGGAUGUUGACGAGGGCUUCCAGGAUCUGAUGUUUUACCUGGAAGGCCUCCUGCAAAAUCCAGUUCCGCAGCCGCCGGCGUCUACGGCUCAGCCACAAACGGAGGAGGUUUAUGUGGGCGAUGAUUGCACUCCCGGCUACCAGCAUGUGGUCGGACUGGCUGAACGUCUGGUCCAGCUGCGCUUGCUCAACUGUGUUUCUCAGAGGCAGGCGGAGGAGAUAGUGCAGUUGUGGCAGAGGCUGCCUGAGCGGGACAAGGCGCCACUCGUUUUUCCACCCAGGUUCAGGGACCAAUUGACGCAUGGCCGGUUUAAAAAGCCAAAGUCCUCCCGUGCACCGACUGAUUCACGGGCUGGGGUGGAGAGCUUGAGGAGAUGUCUCAGCAGUCAGGGGAGCGGACCAGCGCAGAGUCCAGGAGUCAGCCGCCUGGUCGAAACGAUCUGCAUUCUCCUGUGCACGAUCUUUCCCCUGAACCGGACUAUAUCUGGUGUUCGAAUCAGCCGCUGGAGUGACAUCGUGCGUAACUACGGGUUCAUCUGGGAGAACGUGCUAAGUCACCCGAUGCUCUCCACAAAACUCCAGCUGUUUGAGAUCAACCAGAAAACACUGACACAGUGGUUUAACAAGCGGAAGGCGCGUCAGGAGAACGUGGUUCUCUGUGUUGGCCAGAUGGACAGCAUCCCACCGCUGACAGCCUGCAGCACGGAGGAUGGCUGCGCCUUUUCACCACACAGCAAUUGUCCAUGUCCUUACACCACACAUGGCCACCAGUGCUUCCCUUGUUGCCACCGCAACAGCAACCCCAGCAGCAGCAGCAUCAGCACCAUCAGCAUCAGCACCAUCAGCACCAGCUAUAGUGCUGCCUCCGCCACUGCCACCACCAGUGUUUGGACCUCAAACACAGAGGCUACCAAAAACCACUGCGUGGAAGCAGAAACAGUUGGACCUAAAGAAAGAGGAGGCUGA